rnacentral:rRNA from 1 species
UGAGUACGAGACGCUACGGCGUCGAAGCAGUCUAUGUCAUACUUCCAAGAAAAGCUUGCACUGUCAUAAACAAAUAAUGCCUGUACCAUAACCGACACAGGUGGGUAGGUAGAGUAUACUAAGGGGCGCGAGAUAACUCUCUCUAAGGAACUCGGCAUAAUGACUCCGUAACUUCGGGAGAAGGAGUGCCUUAUUCUUAAGGUUGCAAUAACAAGAUCCAAGCAACUGUUUAUCAAAAACACAGGUCUCCGCUAAGUCGUAAGACGAUGUAUGGGGGCUGACGCCUGCCCAGUGCCAGAAGGUUAAAGAAGUUGGUUAGCAUUCGCGAAGCUGAUAACUGAAGCCCUGGUGAACGGCGGCCGUAACAAUAACGGUCCUAAGGUAGCGAAAUUCCUUGUCGGGUAAGUUCCGACCCGCACGAAAGGCGUAAUGAUUUGGAUACUGUCUCGGAGAGGGGCUCGGUGAAAUAGACUUGUCUGUGAAGAUGCGGACUACCUGCACCUGGACAGAAAGACCCUAUGAAGCUUUACUGUAACUUGAAAUUGAAAUUGGACUUUAUUUGCGCAGUAUAGGUGGGAGGCGUUGAGAAUAUUCUUGCGGGAAUAUUGGAGCCAUCAGUGAGAUACCACUCUUGUAAUGUUAGAUUUCUAACUUUGAAUCAUUAUCUGGUCAAAGGACAGUUUCAGGCGGGCAGUUUGACUGGGGCGGUCGCCUCCUAAGUGGUAACGGAGGCGCACAAAGGUUUCCUCUGAACGGGUAGAAAUCGUAUCUAGAGUGUAAAGGCAUAAGGAAGCUUGACUGUGAGACCUACAAGUCGAGCAGGGACGAAAGUCGGUCUUAGUGAUCUGACGGUGCUGAGUGGAAAGGCCGUCACUCAACGGAUAAAAGUUACUCUAGGAUAACAGGCUGAUCUCCCCCAAGAGUUCACAUCGACGGGGAGGUUUGGCACCUCGAUGUCGGCUCAUCGCAUCCUGGGGCGGUAGUACGUCCCAAGGGUUGGGCUGUUCGCCCAUGAAAGCGGUACGCGAGCUGGGUUCAGAACGUCGUGAGACAGUUCGGUCCAUAUCCGGUGUAGGCGUUAGAAUAUUGAGAGGAGCCUUCUUUAGUACGAGAGGACCGAGAAGGACAUACCUCUGGUGUACCAGUUAUCGUGCCAACGGUAAACGCUGGGUAGCUAUGUAUGGAGAGGAUAACCGCUGAAAGCAUCUAAGUGGGAAGCCCACCUCAAGAUAAG